CACACCGUCCUCAUCCUGGUUUUAGCUCUACUCUGCUUCAAAGGUUUUACAGAAGGGAACGAUGUAAAGCAGACUCGGAUUCUGUGGAAAGAGAUGGGACAAACAGCCACCAUGAACUGCAGUCACACUAAGGGUGGAAGCUACUACCAGAUGUACUGGUACCGACAGCUGCCAGGACAGAACAUGGAGCAGAUGGUGUUCACAAUGACUACUUCUAAACCCGACUUUGAACCAGACUUCAGAAACGACAGGUUCUCCACCACCAAACCUGACGCUGACAGUGGAACGUUGACGGUGCAGAACCUGGAGUACGCAGAUACAGGCGUGUACUUCUGUUCUGUUCACUUGUGUUUCUACAGCCUCCACAACAUGGACCAGGUCCAACACACCGUCCUCAUCCUGGUUUUAGCUCUACUCUGCUUCAAAGGUAAACAGUAG